GGCGGGGCCGCGCGCCCACGUGACUCCCCCGGCCCUCGGGGAGGCGUGGCGCGCCCACGGCACGUGAUCCGGCGCCGCAGGGGUCCCCCAGAUUCAAUUCUAGCUCUCGGGCUGGUGGGGCGGUCGCGGGCGCCUCUCCAAGGGAGCUGAUUCAUUGUCUGGUAGGCCCUCUGCAGGGCCCAGCUGGCGGCCCAGUGGCAAAGCGCCGUUGGUCCUCCGUUUGAAAACCAUGAUCGCGGUUAGUGGAAAGAGUAGGCCGAGUCCUGAUUUUUAAACUAUACGGUGUUACAAUCUGCAUCUGCGUAAGCCUGAGAUCAUAUUGAAAUCCUGCCCAGAAUAUGGAGCUUCAAAGAAGACUAGAUCCAUAUAAAGAAACAGAAACUCGAAGUAACCAGGUCUGUAAACCCCGCACUAUGAGAGGCUGAGGCAGAAGGGAUUGUUUGAAGCCAGGAGAUUGAGACCAGCCUGCACAAUAUAAGGAGACCUUGUCUCUGCAAAAAAUUAAAAAAACAAAAGAAACUCAAAGAGGAGGACAAAGACUCUCUCCAGUGAAGCCUUUCUCUUCUCCUCAGGCCUCUCCUUCCUGACUCAGCCUUGGUUUACCACUGAGAUUUGCCAUAUACCAUACAGAUGAACAAAAACGUUACCAAUUAUUGGCAGGGUUUUUUGUUUGUUUUUUUGUUUUUUUUUUUAACCAAAUGUCAAGUUGGUGAUGAAGUUAUCUGGAAAUGUCAACCAAACCCAGAAGACUACACAAGACUACAGGAGAAGGCACUCUGGGGACAGACAGGAGUCCUUGACAUCGUGGGAGAGGCAUUGUGGCAAUACUGCAUAGAAGGGAAGCUGGGCUUCGGGCUGCGCCUCCUGAGAGUGGAUUGUCUGAGGUGCCAGCAGGACGUCCGUCAGAUUUCAGGUGGAGGAGAGAGAAAACGGCUUGUGACCUUGCAGGUUUCAAAAGAAGAGCAAACAAGAAGGGCAGAUAAGGAGACGCCAGUGAGAUUCUAUGGCCUGUCAUUAGGGAUGGGCUUCCCAGCUAUCAAAUGUUUGCUCACAUAAUAAAAUGGUGGCAGAGCCCAAAA